UACGGAGGUGACAAGCGUUGUCCGGAUUUACUGGGCGUAAAGAGCGCGCAGGCGGUCGUUCAAGUCGGGUGUGAAAGCCCCCGGCUCAACUGGGGAGGGUCACUCGAUACUGAUCGACUCGAAGGCAGGAGAGGGAAGUGGAAUUCCCGGUGUAGUGGUGAAAUGCGUAGAUAUCGGGAGGAACACCAGUGGCGAAGGCGACUUCCUGGCCUGUUCUUGACGCUGAGGCGCGAAAGCUAGGGGAGCAAACGGG
rnacentral:rRNA from 1 species